CCUGCGGCCUUACCACUCUGAAAGUGCCUGAUCUUGUGAGAUCUUAGAAGCCAUCCAGACUCUGACCUGGUUAGUAAUUGUAUGGGAUGCCAACUAGGAACCUCAGGUGCCAAUAGGA